rnacentral:rRNA from 1 species
UCGAGAAUCUUCCGCAAUGGGCGCAAGCCUGACGGAGCGAUGUCGCGUGAUGGAUGAAGUCUUUCGGGAUGUAAACAUCUUUUCUGCGUGAAGAAGUUAUUGACAUUAGCGCAGGAAUAAGGGGUUGCUAAACUCGUGCCAGCAGCAGCGGUAAUACGAGUGCCCCGAGCGUUGUCCGGAAUUAUUGGGCGUAAAGGGUGCGUAGGCGGUUCAAUUAGUCAGGGGUUAAAUGUACGGGCUCAACCCGUACGCUGCCUCUGAAACGGUUGGACUUUGAGGAUAUGAGAGGUGAGCGGAACUCAUGGUGUAGGGGUGAAAUCCGUUGAUAUCAUGGGGAACACCAAAUGCGAAGGCAGCUCACUGGCAUAUUUCUGACGCUGAGGCACGAAAGCGUGGGGAG